UACGGGGGGAGCAAGCGUUGUUCGGAUUUACUGGGCGUAAAGGGCGCGUAGGCGGUCAGCACAAGUCAGUUGUGAAAUCUCCGGGCUUAACUCGGAAAGGUCAACUGAUACUGUGCGACUAGAGUGCGGAAGGGGCAACUGGAAUUCUCGGUGUAGCGGUGAAAUGCGUAGAUAUCGGGAGGAACACCAAUGGCGAAGGCAGCUUGCUGGGACGGUACUGACGCUGAGGCGCGAAAGCGUGGGGAGCAAACAGG
rnacentral:rRNA from 1 species